AGACAGACUAUGAAGAGAUACAUAGGGUGAGAAACGGAGGCCUUCAGCCAACAGCUGGGAGAAGCUGAGUCCCAUCAGCCAUUCAAAAGACUGCAGCCCCAGCCAAGAGUUUGAUGUAACCUCAGGAGAGACCCUGAGCCAGAACCACCUAGAAAUCUCCAAGUGAGAAGACCUUACUUGUCUUCUGAAAGUCUGGCCAACGAGCUAUACCUAGUGAUUCCAAAGUCCACAUAUAUUUACUCUGUUCUCACUGUACAAAGUAACCACUCUGAAGUCAAAAAAGCUGGGAUACAUGAAGACUGCCAUCCCUUGAGUCACUUGCCCUGUAGCUGCCACUGUUGGAAAAGGGCUUGCUUCUGUGUCCUUGUGCCCACUUUGAAAAUCCCUGGGAAGUCCUUGGAGUCAGAUGAGCAGGCCUCCGCCACUCUGCCAAAAAGUCUGUUCAAUCAGGAGUCCCCAACCCCUGAGCCAUGGACUGAUAUGGAGCUAUGGUCUGUUAGGAACUGGGCUGCCCAGGAGGAGCAAUGGUGCUUCUACAAUUUCCUUAUAGGAGGAGUGAAGAGUAAGCAUUUGGAUUGGACCAGGAUUUGGAGAACUUGUCAUGUUGCUCUACGUGCAUAUGAAAUACAUCAUUGUAACUUAGAAUGUGAAUUACAGAACAAACAUGAAAGUUAGAAAAAUAUUCUAAACAUAUUUUUAUGAUCUCUACUUGCAAUAAGGAAACUGUUAGGCUUUUCCAUCAAAGAAUAAGUGCAACAAAAACAAAAAUUUCUGGAUGGAAAAAAGGAGAUUUGAGGGGCAAGGCUAAAGCCCCCCAAACCUUCCUCAGGAUGAACACAAACCCCAUCUUUAUUUUCCUGUUGCCACUGUUCCAUGUUGCUGGGCUCUAUUCCAGCAAAAUUUUGGAAAGCGUUGCUACAGUUCUGCUCAUUUCUUUCUCACUUCAGAACAAUGAUGCCCUUUCCAGAUAAAGCAUCUUAAUUAAACAGAUGACAUUUGAACUAGACCUUGAAGAACAGGUCAGAGUUAUAUUGGGAAAGAAGUAGGAGAGGAACACCCAGAAAAUAACAUUUAUGAACAUAAAGGCACAGAAUAUAAAUGUCUCUGACAAAGACAGAAAUCAAGGGUAAAUUUUAGUGUGGCAUAGAUUAAUUCACUAACUCAAUAUAUAUAUAUUUACAUAGAGAGCAUGGAUAGAUACUAGAAAUAAAACAA
ensembl:lncRNA novel transcript